rnacentral:tRNA from 1 species
UCGGCAGACACGCUACUUUGAGGUGGUAGUGGGCGUAAGCCCUUGCGGGUUCAAAUCCCGCCCUGGGCACCA